rnacentral:rRNA from 1 species
UACGUAGGGGGCUAGCGUUGUCCGGAAUCAUUGGGCGUAAAGAGCGUGUAGGCGGCCCGGUAAGUCCGCUGUAAAAGUCAAAGGCUCAACCUUUGAAUGUCAGUGGAUACUGCCGGGCUAGAGUCCGGAAGAGGAGAGUGGAAUUCCUGGUGUAGCGGUGAAAUGCGCAGAUAUCAGGAAGAACACCGAUGGCGAAGGCAGCUCUCUGGGACGGUACUGACGCUGAGGAGCGAAAGCGUGGGGAGCGAACAGG